AGUGAACGCUGGCGGUAGGCCUAACACAUGCAAGUCGAACGGCAGCACAGUAAGAGCUUGCUCUUACGGGUGGCGAGUGGCGGACGGGUGAGGAAUACAUCGGAAUCUACUUUUUCGUGGGGGAUAACGUAGGGAAACUUACGCUAAUACCGCAUACGACCUACGGGUGAAAGCAGGGGAUCUUCGGACCUUGCGCGAUUGAAUGAGCCGAUGUCGGAUUAGCUAGUUGGCGGGGUAAAGGCCCACCAAGGCGACGAUCCGUAGCUGGUCUGAGAGGAUGAUCAGCCCAACGGGAACUGAGACACGGUCCAGACCCCUAGGGGAGGCAGCAGGGGGGAAUAUUGGACAAUGGGCGCAAGCCUGAUCCAGCCAUACCGCGUGGGUGAAGAAGGCCUUCGGGUUGUAAAGCCCUUUUGUUGGGAAAAAAAAGCAGCAGGUUAAAACCCCGCUGUUCUGACGGUACCCAAAGAAUAAGCACCGGCUAACUUCGU
rnacentral:rRNA from 1 species